GGGGGUGACGUGGCUUCGACGGGGUACGACAGGUGACGUAGCUGCAUGCCGAGCUUGCUGGUGCUGCUCGUAAAUACAACCAGCAACGGCAAAAUGCCAACUCGUUCAGCUAUGCAAUGGCUGCCUAAGUAACGGCACCAUUGCUGGGAUGCGUUGAGCCAAGCUCCGCUCCCUGCUGCCCACUCAUGCGCCAUCACGUGAGUGUUCGCAGCAUCGAACCCUGAUGGCUCACCUGGUGAGUGUAUCGUUCCGCUCAUCGGGUGAUCCAACCGAACGAUAGCUCCUCGAGCGCGAGUUGCUCCGCCCCUGGAGGAGCGAAAGUUUGAUGAGCAACUGAGCAUGGAGAUGCUACGCGCUUGGUACUCCGGACCCGGGUUCAACUCCCGGCACCUCCACAC
rnacentral:tmRNA from 1 species